ensembl:miRNA bta-mir-2285bq bta-mir-2285bq
AAAUGUUCAUUCAGGUUUUCCUACAACAUCUUACAGAAAAACCCGAAUGAACUUCUUGGC